GUGGGGAAUCUUGCGCAAUGGGCGAAAGCCUGACGCAGCGACGCCGCGUGGGUGAUGAAGGCCUUCGGGUUGUAAAGCCCUGUGGGGAGGGACGAAUAACGAUUGGCCAAUAUCCAAUCGGAUGACGGUACCUCCUUAGCAAGCACCGGCUAACUCUGUGCCAGCAGCCGCGGUAAGACAGAGGGUGCAAACGUUGUUCGGAAUUACUGGGCGUAAAGCGCGUGUAGGCGGCAAGGCAAGUCGGAUGUGAAAGCCCUGGGCUCAACCCAGGAAGUGCAUUCGAUACUGCCGAGCUGGAGUCCCGGAGAGGAUGGUGGAACUCUCGGUGUAGAGGUGAAAUUCGUAGAUAUCGAGAAGAACACCGGUGGCGAAGGCGGCCAUCUGGACGGUGACUGACGCUGAGACGCGAAAGCGUGGGGAGCAAACAGGAUUAGAAACCCGUGUAGUCC
rnacentral:rRNA from 1 species